UCCUACGGGUGGCAGCAGUGAGGAAUAUUGCGCAAUGGGGGAAACCCUGACGCAGCGACGCCGUGUGAGCGAUGAAGGCCUUCGGGUCGUAAAGCUCUGUCAGAGGGGAAGAAAGGGGAUAUGGUUAAUACCCAUGUCCAUUGACGGUACCCUUUGAGGAAGCACCGGCUAACUCCGUGCCAGCAGCCGCGGUAAUACGGAGGGUGCGAGUGUUAUUCGGAAUCACUGGGCGUAAAGAGCACGUAGGCGGAUCGGUAAGUCAGAUGUGAAAUCCCGGAGCUCAACUCCGGAACUGCAUUUGAUACUGCCAGUCUUGAGUGAGGUAGAGGGGGGUGGAAUUCCCGGUGUAGAGGUGAAAUUCGUAGAUAUCGGGAGGAACACCAGAGGCGAAGGCGACCCCCUGGGCCUUUACUGACGCUGAGGUGCGAAAGCGUGGGGAGCAAACAGGAUUAGAUACCCUAGUAGUCC
rnacentral:rRNA from 1 species